AAAAUUUAAAAUUAAAAUACUAAAAUAGUAAAUAUGUUUGUUAAAACUUAAAUAAUUUGGCGGUAUUUUAGUUCAUUUAGAGGAAUCUGUUUAAUAAUUGAUAUUCCACGAAUAAAUUUACUUAAUUUAUAAUUUUGUAUAUCGUUGUUAUAAAAAUAUUUUUUAAUAAAGUUAAUAUUUAAAAAUUAAUAUUUGAAUUUAAAUCAGAUCAAGAUGCAGAUUAUAAUUAAGAAUGUAAUGGAUUACAAUAAAUUUAUUUAAAUGGAUUUUAAUUUGAAAGAAUUAAUUAAAAGUGGAUUUAAAUGUAAUUUUGUUUAAUUUAAUAAAAUGAUUAAAAAUUAAAAUAUGU
rnacentral:rRNA from 1 species